ensembl:snRNA U6 U6 spliceosomal RNA
GUGCUCGCUUCGGCAGCACGUAUACUAAAAUGGGAACGAUACAGAGAAGAUUAGCAUGGCCCCUGCGCAAAGACGACACCCAAAUACAUGACAAAGUCCCUAAAAAC